CCUACGGGAGGCAGCAGUGGGGAAUAUUGGACAAUGGCGGAAACGCUUAUCCAGCGACGCCGCGUGAGGGAUGAAGGUUUUCGGAUUGUAAACCUCUUUCAGCGGGGACGAUAAUGACGGUACCCACGGAGGAAGCCACGGCUAAAUACUUGCCAGCAGCCGCGGUAAUACGUAGGUGGCAAGCGUUGUCCGGAAUUACUGGGGGUAAAGGGAGCGUAGGCGGGAUGUGAAGUCAGAAGUGAAAAUGAUGGGGUCAACUCAUAACCUGCUUUUGAAACUGAUAUUCUUGAGUGAAGUAGAGGUAUGCGGAAUUCGUAGUGUAGCGGUGAAAUGCGUAGAUAUUAGGAGGAACACCAGUGGCGAAGGCGGCUUGCUGGGCUUUUACUGACGCUGAGGCUCGAAAGCGUGGGGAGCAAACAGGAUUAGAUACCCGAGUAGUC
rnacentral:rRNA from 1 species